ensembl:lncRNA
CCACUGCACUCCAGCCUGGGCGACAGAGUGAGACCCUAUCUUAAAAGGGGAUGAAGUCGGAUGAGAAAGCUCACCUGUCCUUGGUCCACGGCGCCCUCAGGACAAAGCCACCUCCUGCCUCUCCCACUGGGCUGGGGCCUCAGAUUCCCCUCUGCCAGGGCUGUCUGCUGAUGGGGUGUGGGAAGAUUGAGUGUCUGCUAGCAAACACCUGCUGCCCGUUAUCUUCAACUCCCUUCAGAGAAGCCUGGAUAAAUCAGAAACUAUCUUCAGUGGCGGCUAAUCAUGAAACCAAGCAGCUGGCCUUCCUCCCCUGAGAUAGUUGGAGAAAAGCAGCCUUUCCCAGCCUCACCUGGCCUCGGUGGAUGGCUGUAGAGUCCCCCGGCAAUGGAAUUGGGCACCAGCCCCCGAGUGCUUUGGAAAGAAUCCGAGCCUGGGCUCUGUGAUGGUGACAAUAUUAAGUCACUCUCUCGCUCUGGGCCUGCUUCUCAUCUGCAAAACGGAAGCUUAGGACUCUGAUGUUUAGGGCCUGUAAUAAGUAAAAAUAUUGCAUUGGUAAGACACCAGCGCUAACCAUGCAGAGUGGACACUAACCAGAAACAACUGAUGUGCUGGCCAUGAUGAAGACCAUCGGUCCUUUGAAUUUUGAGUUUCAACACUUUGGUGUGCCUCCUUCCAGUAUCCGUAUCCCCUAUGCAUUACACACUAUUUUUUUGGCUCACUGCAACCUCCGACUCCUGGGUUCAAGUGAUUCUCCUGCCUCAGCCUCCUGAGUAGCUGGGAUUACAGGCGCCCACCACCACACCUGGCUAAUUUUUGUAUUUCUAGUAGAGACGGGAUUUCACCAUGUUGAUCAGACUGGCCUUGAACUCCUGACCUCGUGAUCCACCCACCUCGGCCUCCCAAAGUGCUGCUGGAAUUAUAGGUGUGAGCCACCAUGCCCGGCCUACACACACACUUUGCAUUAUACCUUUUCAUAACACGGCAUAUUGACUUACUGUCCCCCAACACAUCCAGUUUGGAUAUGUUAUUUAAUGCCACCACAAUCCACAGAUGAUAUUCUAAUUUUUUGCCCUUAAUGUCAACCUGCAGCAUCCACUUGUGCAGAUGCUUCAAAGCCAGUCCUCCAUUCUACAGGGUGGGGCAGGAGAUGGAUUGUGGUCCCGGUUGAGAUCAGGGCUUCCUUGAAUGAGGGGUUCGCUCUUGGAUGACUGACCCUUGAAAGCACCCCUGGCACUCAUUCUAUUAAGUGAUCUUUUCCCCCAGACUUUUAAAAGGCAAAGUCCCAGAAUCCAAGUCCAACAGAAAAGAAAAGUGGAGCUUUGGCCAGGUGUGGUGGCUCACGCUUGUAAUCCCAGCACUUUGGGAGGCCAAGGCAGGCGGAUCACCUGAGGUCAAGUGUUUGAGACCAUCCUGGCCAACAUGGUGAAACCCCAUCUCUGCUAAAAAUACAAAAAUUAGCCGGGUGUGGUGGGGCAUGCCUGUUCUCCCAGCUACUCGGGAGGCUGAGGCAGGAGAAUCGCUUCAGCCCAGGAAGCAGAGAUUUCAGUGAGCCGAGAUCAUGCCAUUGCACUUUAGCCUGGGCAACAGAGCAAGACUCCAUCUCAAAAAAAAAAAAAAAA